rnacentral:sRNA from 1 species
CCGCCGAAAGAUCAGGACCCGUCUCGGUC